rnacentral:rRNA from 1 species
GACGAACGCUGGCGGCGCGCUUAACACAUGCAAGUCGAACGGAAAGGCCUGCUUUCCCUUGUGGAUUGCGGGUACUCGAGUGGCGAACGGGUGAGUAACACGUGAUUGAUCUGCCCCCAACUUGGGUAUAAGCCUGGGAAACUGGGUCUAAUUCCCGAUAGGACUGCAGGGUGGUGCCUGUGGUGGAAAACGAUUUUCUAGUGGUUGGGGAUGAGCUCGCGGCCUAUCAGCUUGUUGGUGGGGUAAUGGCCUACCAAGGCGGCGACGGGUAGCCGGCCUGAGAGGGUGGACGGCCACAUUGGGACUGAGAUACGGCCCAGACUCCUACGGGAGGCAGCAGUGGGGAAUAUUGCACAAUGGGCGGAAGCCUGAUGCAGCGACGCCGCGUGGGGGAUGACGGCCUUCGGGUUGUAAACUCCUUUCGACCGCGAGGAAGCCACCUGGUUGGAAGGGUGGUGACGGUAGUGGUAGAAGAAGCACCGGCUAACUACGUG